AGCAUUUAAAAAAAAAAAAUUAAACUCAACUCGUGGCAAAGAGAGCCUGCUAUGUAACACUUACACCACAUCAUUAAUAAUUAGACAAUUGCAUCUCUAUAUUUAAGAGAAAAGUAUAGCAAAAAUAUUUUUGUAAUAAUUAUGACGGACGGGUGAACUGGAAACUCCAUAUCAACAAUAUAAUUGAUGCAUUUUAGAUUUUUUCCACAGCAAGAUAU
rnacentral:lncRNA from 1 species